AUUGAACGCUGGCGGCAGGCCUAACACAUGCAAGUCGAGCGGAUGAAGGGAGCUUGCGCCUGGAGUCAGCGGCGGACGGGUGAGUAAUGCCUAGGAAUCUGCCUGGUAGUGGGGGAUAACGUCCGGAAACGGGCGCUAAUACCGCAUACGACCUGAGGGAGAAAGUGGGGGAGCUUCGGACCUCACGCUAUCAGAUGAGCCUAGGUCGGAUUAGCUAGUUGGUGGGGUAAAGGCCUACCAAGGCGACGAUCCGUAACUGGUCUGAGAGGCUGAUCAGUCACACUGGAACUGAGACACGGUCCAGACUCCUACGGGAGGCAGCAGUGGGGAAUAUUGGACAAUGGUCGAAAGCCUGAUCCAGCCAGGCCGCGUGUGUGGAGAAGGUCUUCGGAUUGUAAAGCACUUUAAGUUGGGAGGAAGGGCAGUAAGCUAAUACCUUGCUGUUUUGACGUUACCAACAGAAUAAGCACCGGCUAACUUCGUG
rnacentral:rRNA from 1 species